rnacentral:rRNA from 1 species
UACGGGGGGGGCAAGCGUUGUUCGGAAUUACUGGGCGUAAAGGGCGCGUAGGCGGCCAUCUAAGUCAGACGUGAAAUCCCUCGGCUCAACCGAGGAACUGCGUCUGAUACUGGAAGGCUUGAAUCCGGGAGAGGGAUGUGGAAUUCCAGGUGUAGCGGUGAAAUGCGUAAAUAUCUGGAGGAACACCGGUGGCGAAGGCGGCAUCCUGGACCGGUAUUGACGCUGAGGCGCGAAAGCUAGGGGAGCAAACGGG